rnacentral:tRNA from 1 species
GGGCGAGUGUUGGAAUGGUAGACAGGAUAGAUUUAGGAUCUAUUGGGUUUCGGCCCGUGGGGGUUCAAAUCCCCCCUCGCCCACUA